GGGCGGGGGCCCGGGCGGGCCGCGCCUGGUCAUCGGCUCCUUACCAGCUCACCUCUCGCCGCACUUGUUUGGAGGAUUUAAAUGCCCUGUAUGCUCAAAAUUUGUACCCUCAGAUGAAAUGGAUUUACAUCUUGUGAUGUGUUUAACGAAGCCAAGAAUAACCUAUAAUGAGGAUGUCCUGAGUAAAGAUGCUGGGGAAUGUGCAAUAUGCCUGGAAGACUUGCAGCAGGGAGACACUAUAGCACGGCUGCCUUGUCUAUGCAUCUAUCAUAAAGGCUGCAUAGAUGAAUGGUUUGAAGUAAAUAGAUCUUGCCCUGAGCACCCUUCAGAUUAAGUAUCUGCUUCCUGUUUUAUAGGUUUUCUUCUCAAGAUGCUUGAAAAACCAAGAGGACUUGAGGACCUUUCUCUGGAAAAAUGAAAACAAAAAACGCAGGCAUACUCAGCCAAAAAUCUGAGUUCUGUGGGACUCAGUUGAUGCAGAGAUGGACAAUCAUAUAGGGAAAAAAAUCCUGCUGGAGGGAGGACAUUUGCCACAGAACUCAGUGUACCAAACAUGAUAUAAGGACUCACAGGGAUUUUGAAAAUGCUGCACAUCCCUAAUAGUCAUCUACAUAGGUAAUGCUGAUAAACAUUUUGUAUUCAGACGCCAAAGUUAACUGAUUUAAAAGUUGAUUUACUUUUUAUUAAGUUCUCUAGAGCUGCACAACUAGUGUUUUGAUUUGUUGUGUUUUUUAGUUUGGGGUCUCUUCAUUUUCCCCAACAUGAUGUUCUGCAUUCGUCUAGUUUUAAAUUGAAGACCACAUAAUUCUCUUCCUAUAAAUUAAAGUCUUAAAUGUGAAACCAAGAAAUGUAAUCAAGCAGUGAAACAUUCUCUGAAUGUAGACCAUGAUCUCAACUACUAUUAUUUUUUCUCCCAAGAGAGUGGAGAAUAGACUUCUACAUAGGAAAGCUGAAAUACGUUAACAUGUUAAAUUAAAAUUUAAUAUUAUCAGAAUGCAGUCCAAAGAGUAAAUCAGGUUACAUAAUUACAUUUUAAUGAAUUAAAUAUCGGAUUGUCUACUGAAUUGCAAUUUCUUAAGUAUAUUGUUUCCUCUGAAAUAAAACUGCUCCACAGCUAAUCAGCAGUGAAUCAUCUUGCAGCUAUGCAAUUUCAAAAAAAUACAAAUUACCAGUUUUAAGUGCUGCCAGCUACAGUAACUUUGUUUUAACGGGUAUUUUUGUUUGUUCUUUUCAUGUAAUUAUUUUAUUGUGCUUUGCAUCUCCAGGCAGUUUUCCCACUUUUGGGUAAAAUGCUUUAGCAGGUUGUAAGCUUAAUAACUUAUGAAAAGAGUAAAAUAAAAUUUUCUUGAGUGGAACCUGGAAUAAUUUGAGGGACUUUUAUAUACUUUUAAAAAUCAGAAUUCAAUUAGGAUGCCAGAUUUAUAGCAAUUUGCAUCUUUAAUUUUCCAGAUAACCUGGAAGUUAGUGUUUGAUAAAUGAUUUUUUAAAGCAAAUAUGAAGAUUUUGUUAAUUUAUAAUUUAUUAAUGUGUUAUUACUGUAAUUGAAAAUGUUAUAGAACUUUUAAAUUCAGUCUGUGUAGAAAGAAAUGUAUUAAGCAAAAUUAUAUGAAUAAAUAUUCCCACAAAAUACAUCUGAAUGGUUAAAAAAUACUGGAAGCCUAUUAGGGCUACAAUAUGAAAUGUCCUCCCUUUUUUUAAAUAUUGGAAAUACCAGUAGAUAGAUUCCCAUUUUCGACAUGGGGAAAAUGUUCCCGGUGAGCUGGAGCAGCGCACGGUGCCUGGCUGUUGAAAGUGGCGCAGCACUGUUCCCUUGUCUUAGCCUCUCGUGUGUGUACACGUUUGCUUUCUGUUGAAUGCUGCUCCUCUUUAUUUGCCUCAGUUUUUUUCUCUACCCUGUUGCUUCUCUUCCUUUUUUUCUUUUGUUUCUUUUUUUUAAGGGCAUGUACAGGAGCAGCUUCUGCUACCCGGAAAAAUUGGUAUAUUUUAAACAAUUGAAAGAGUUUUAAUUGCUCUCUGUGUGAUUCUAGACCGAAAAACAUUUUCCCCUAAGUUAUGCUAUGAAAUGCCUUUUGUUAUGCUGCAUUUGAUAAAAGAACCCCAAACCUCCAGUGUGACAGCUGACACCACAGUUUUCAUAGGUGCUUUUUUAACCAGUUUUAGAAAAUAUUUUUCCUUCAAGGAAAAUAUUCUUUCCUUAAAUUUUUUCUGUUAUCAUGAAGUCUUAAUAUGAAUCCAUUUUAUUUCACAUUUUCAAUUUUGUAAGCUCUCACACAUACACAUACACACACAAACACACCCACUGCAGGAAAAACCUCUUAGAAUGUGAAUAAUUCAUUUUUUCUACUACUAGUAUAAUGUUAUUUUGUCGACUUUCAUUCUUAAAGGAAAGAUUUACUCUGGCUGUGGUAGUUCACUGGAAGUUGGUUUCUGAUACGAUUUACUCGUUGACUUUUAGAAUGUAUCGCAUAGGUUCACAUCUCCGUUGUAUCCUGGACCACAUGUCAGCCUUGCUCUGUUUGUGGAGUCAAGUUCGGUGCUGCAGCUGCUGCAGGAGAAGCUCCUGUGCUUUAGAGGAAGCUCAGCGUCAGUGUCGAGUGCAACCUGAUCGUUACAUUUGUCUAAAACAGUAUUUAGUUAAUUUGUUUAUAGCAGUCCCUUUUUUAUUAAAAUUUACAGAAGUUACAUCUUUUACUUUAAAGUCAUUUUCCAUCAUCAAUGACUUCAUAAAAAGAGCUGAGAAACUGAAAAUGUUUUAAAAGCCCAGCUGCUCCAGUUUUUAUUCAAAGUCACUAUUCUGAAAAGUGUUAUAAGUAAUACUGUAAGUGAUAUCACGUAUAUUUGUAAACUUAUAUGCAGACACUGAAUAGUGUAAGUAGGACAUAAAUUCGUGUUAGAUAUUUAAAUAUGUACUUGAAAGUACUCUCAGUUGAAUAUUAAUGGAGGCAAAAUAAAGAUUGAAAGCCUAGGUCAUCAAGUUGUUAUAGUUUUCCAGAAUCUUUGUAAAUAAUUGUUUUCAAAUAAGAUCACACUUGCGAAUAUAGAAAGCAGUAUGUUCUGAAACUUACUUUGGUGCCACUCUUUUCUUCAUAACGGAUUUAUUGCCAAUUUUGGCUCUUUGUCUUACUUAGAUCUGGCUCCCCCCCUCCCCCCCCCAACAAUGUGUAGGAGAUAGCAAAAUUAUUGUCUUACUUUUGGGCCUUUGCCAGAGAUAUAGACUAAGUAAGUAAGCAUGUUAAUCUGUGUUUUUGAGAUCUGGUUAUAAAUCAGAUAUAGAUGGUGUUUUAAGAGCAGUGUUUAUGAUUGAAAUAUAAACAAUGGUUCCUAUAACUGAUUUUUUUGUGGUAGACGAAACAGCAUUUAAAAACUCAUAUGUUAUUGACUGUUGCAUACUAUAUAGGUUCUCUAUUUCUUUACUAUGUUAUACAACUAUUUCAGUUUUCACCCACUAAACAUUAAUAGAAUUUAGCCCCAUAGUGGCUGAGGGGCACCCUCAGCAUAUUUACAGUAUGUAUUCCCAAAAGAUUCAGUUUAAAUGAGUUAAUGAAAACGGCAGAUUCCAUUUCAAAGCUUUUUUACUUUCUAAAGUUGUGUAUAGUAAUGUGUAAAAGCAAUCAUUUAAAUUAACAUAAUUAUAACAAGAUGUAGGGAUCUUCCUUUAAAUGAAAAAGAUUGUAAAUUCAAUGUAAAUAUUACCUAAUUUUUUUUUUUUUACUAACUUGGAGAGUGGAAGAAGGGAAAUUUCCUGACAAUAAGCUAAAUUUGAAUAGAGCAUGAGCCUUUUAAAACUCAAGAAUAAUUGAAUUUACCAUCUGGUGACAUCCACACUAUGUAUUAGUGAUAAUAUUGAAGUCAUCUUACUCUUUUGCAGAGGAAGUCUCCAUGUAAAUUCGGUUAUUGGGAACUUUGCAAAACUACGUAGAGGUAAAUGUUGCUUAUUAAAUAUGAAUACUGUUUGUUAGUUACAGGAAGUCUUCUAGUUCAUUUGGGCUUUUUUUCUUGCAAUUUGAUUUAUCCUGAGGUGAGCUCGGUGCAUAUUGACAGUGGGUGGUGAAAUGUGAAGUGUCCCUUGUUCUUGUACAGAUAUUCUCUAAGUUAAAAAAAAAAAAAUUCUGGCAUGCUAGUCUUUUGUCCUUGGCCUGUCCCCUUUUUUGCUGAGGUCUGUAACUUCAAAUGUUUUCUUUGCUGUAUCGUGAAUAAUAGUAGUCAAUGAUCUGUUUCACUGACUACUUUUCAUCUCUACUGGUGCCUUUCCAUCUGAAACUAAAUUGCCACUUGGUUUUCUUUAGAGGAAGUGGCUGCUUGGUGUCUUCCUAGUAGUGAUUUUUAUUCAGGAAAAGCUGGUGAAACUCUUUUGUAAUGCUUUGCCCAGACAAUACUUUUUGAGUACCUGCCGUAUUCUGUGAAUGCUGUGCUUAAGGUAGGGAACUGAAUGUUCGUUCUUUUUAAAUCGCAGAAUUCCUGUGUUCAGUGGGGAAUAGAAUACCUGGUCUUUUAAGUCAGGUGAUUCUCUGGAAAGUAAAAGGCAUUGAAGAAAACCAGAUAUGUUAAUAUUGAUGAAAAUGCAGCAUUAGUAUACUUAAGGGAGUUGGUAUAUUUGGUAUAUUUUCAGAUAUUUAAACCAUCAUUAGUUUAGACCAGUGGCUAAUAAUAAGAUAGACUGUUGGUUGCUUGUUUAUAGAGAGGCAAAGAGCAACGUGGCCUAAACUCACAGCCUAGAAAAUACAUGAAAAAUUUUAAAGUGGUAUUGUACUCUGUAUUAACCAACAUUGUCCUCCUUAGCUCUGCCCUGGACUGUGGGGCACCUGUCAGGACCCCAACUCUUAGAGCCAGAGUGACUGGCUCCUUCGAUUACUCGUGCCUGCUCUUUUGAUUGGAUAUGCUGAGAUCGAUGGGUACUGAUGAUCUAUGCUUGUAAACUUAUAUUUCUGCGUCACCCUGUUACCAUUGAACCUGCGUUGUGAAAAGGUUUCAUUAUUAGUCAGUAGCAUUUUGAGCACCUGGGUGCAUGUGACACAGCAGGCUGUAUGGGGAGAUACAGAAGAGACUGGGGGAUUUUUUGGUGAUAUCAAUCUUUGUUAUUACAGCAGUCCAUUACAUUUUAUUUCUCUGCAAUGACUAUAUGAGUUUCAUUGUUUGAAAAUCAAGGUAAUAAUAGAUAUUUACCUCUGUUGCUUUGUUCGUGGUUUCCACAACUCUUCUGUAAUACCUUAGUUUCCUCCAUUAGAAAGUAUUUUUCUGUUAAAUAUGGUAUCAAAAGCAUCAAUCUCAAGAAAUAUAGAAAAUGUAUUCGGAACAACUUGUAUGUUCUUAACUACAGUGGAGCAAUUCAUUAUUGAUAUUUUUAAUAAAUAAAGCUUCCAAAUGAUCUUGCCAAAUUACCCUGUUAUUUAGAAGCAGAAUGUAAGAGAAUGCUUUCAAGGAAAUGCGUCAUUUCUACCCUUAUGUCUAGAAGUUGACGGCACAUUACAAUAAAACAGAAUUACCUGAA